rnacentral:rRNA from 1 species
UACGGGGGGAGCAAGCGUUUGUUCGGAUUUACUGGGCGUAAAGGGCGCGUAGGCGGCCUGCUAAGUCGAGCGUGAAAUCCCCGGGCUCAACCCGGGAACUGCGUCCGAUACUGGCAGGCUUGAAUCCGGGAGAGGGAUGUGGAAUUCCAGGUGUAGCGGUGAAAUGCGUAGAUAUCUGGAGGAACACCGGUGGCGAAGGCGGCAUCCUGGACCGGUAUUGACGCUGAUGCGCGAAAGCCAGGGGAGCAAAACGGGG